UACGUAGGUGGCAAGCGUUGUCCGGAUUUACUGGGCGUAAAGAGCGCGCAGGCGGUCGUUCAAGUCGCGUGUGAAAGCCCCCGGCUCAACUGGGGAGGGUCACGCGAUACUGAUCGACUCGAAGGCAGGAGAGGGUAGUGGAAUUCCCGGUGUAGUGGUGAAAUGCGUAGAUAUCGGGAGGAACACCAGUGGCGAAGGCGACUACCUGGCCUGUUAUUGACGCUGAGGCGCGAAAGCGUGGGUAGCAAACAGG
rnacentral:rRNA from 1 species